AAAUUGAAGAGUUUGAUCAUGGCUCAGAUUGAACGCUGGCGGCAGGCCUAACACAUGCAAGUCGAACGGUAACAGGAAGCAGCUUGCUGUUUCGCUGACGAGUGGCGGACGGGUGAGUAAUGUCUGGGAAACUGCCUGAUGGAGGGGGAUAACUACUGGAAACGGUAGCUAAUACCGCAUAACGUCGCAAGACCAAAGAGGGGGACCUUCGGGCCUCUUGCCAUCGGAUGUGCCCAGAUGGGAUUAGCUAGUAGGUGGGGUAACGGCUCACCUAGGCGACGAUCCCUAGCUGGUCUGAGAGGAUGACCAGCCACACUGGAACUGAGACACGGUCCAGACUCCUACGGGAGGCAGCAGUGGGGAAUAUUGCACAAUGGGCGCAAGCCUGAUGCAGCCAUGCCGCGUGUAUGAAGAAGGCCUUCGGGUUGUAAAGUACUUUCAGCGGGGAGGAAGGGAGUAAAGUUAAU
rnacentral:rRNA from 1 species